UAACCCUACUGCAUAUCAGGAAAAAACAUCUCUAACUCAUUUAUAUUGUCCACGCUCCAAAUGUCCAGCCCUGGGAGUGCGGGGAGUGUUGGGUUAAAGGACUUUCGGUGCUAAAUCCAGGAUUUUCUUACUUUUUUGAUUAUUCUUACACAUCAAGGAUGAUAUUGGUGGUAAUCGUAACGAAGAGCUCAUUGCUACCAGUGCGGCAAACCUAGGACGGAGAAUGUGAUGCUUCUUGAAUACCAUGAUCACUCACCCCUGACAUCACUUUCAAAUAAUGAUGGUAGGGUCUCGAUCUGGCGAUGAGUGUGCCGAUGAUGCUAAUGCUUUCUCAGAGAUGUAGAAUACAACAUGAGAAGGCAACUCGGAAAUCAGAGGCCGAGGCUAUUAACAAAUUACGAGUUCAAGAUCCCAGCAGGAAGAAGCGAGAAGAGAAAAUAAAGAAGCAGCGGGAAGAGUUGGCACAGGAGGAGAAGGCAGCCAAAGAGCCUCCACCAAACACUAUCAGAACGGUUAUGGGCCGUGCUGAGGAGAAGGCAGCCAAAGAUCCUCCACCAAACGCUAUCAGAACGGUUAUGGGCCGUGCUGGAACUACUGUGACGUUUUCUUCAAGAUUGACGAAGUGAUUUUUAUAAGUACGCCAAGAGAUCUUCAACCCUCAGAAUGCUCUUUUUGUUGAUUGCGCAAACAAUAACAGAAGGUUUUUCCCAAAUUGAGGUAAUCUUUUGUUUCAUUUAUGCAUGAUUCCUAGUGUUUGUUUCUUAUUUGGUUCCAAUAUGAAUGGAUGUUUCUCGACAACGAAGGGUCAUUGUGAUUUAUAGCAGAUAUACCACUCAUUAAAAUAUUUGUGAAUAUAUACUCUCGCCAUCUACCAAGUAAUUCAUAUAUAUCUGUGUCGUCUAACAAAUGGUGCAUACAUAUUUGGCCUUGUUCCCUUUUAUAUAAAUUGCUCUUAUUGUUAGAAUAUAAAUAACGCCCAUCCACAAUUUGUGUUUGCUGCAACAUCUAAGGUGAAUCUUUUACACCUUGAGUAUUUCCGUUUCUCUAGUAGAAUGAUUGCGUUAGAUUUUAUGCAUAAUUUACAAUUUGGAGUUGUGUUUCGUCGCAUAUUCUUCUUGCAAUUUGCAGGACGCAGAUCCAUUCUUGUACAAUAGCUGCAAGCAUAUACUGGAUAUGAAUGCAGAGAUGGUGGAUCGGUAUGUUCUAAGUUUGACAUUUGUUUGCGAAGUUGGGUUGUCGGGCUCUAGGAAAGAAAAAGAGUUUUGUCUGAACGAGAAAGAUACUGUCGUGGCCAUCAAGAAUCGAGAAAGGUAUGUUAAUCUUCUUAUUAGACAAACUUUAUAACAUCAAUUGCUUAGUAGACAGAGUAUUUUUUUUAAAGAUUUUGUUGAUGUAAUAACUACGUCAAAGCUCCUGUCCUUUUUUCGGUGUCUUAAUCUUUAAAGAGCUGAACUUAAUGCUUGGUGGUAGAAACAUCACUUCUACCAUCAAGCAUUAAGUCGAGAUCUUCAAGAUUAAGACACCGGAAAAAGGAUUGGAGUUUUGACGUAGUCAUUACAUCAGCAUAAAACCUUUUGAAAAAUACUCUUAUCUGCUCAUAGUGAUGUCUAAUAAGAAGGUUAACAUAUGUUUCCCGAUUCUUACUGUCCACGACAAUAUCUUUUUUGUUGGGACAAAGCUCUAUUUCUUUUCCGGAGCCCAACUGCUCUAUUCCACAGACAAACGUCAAACUAGAACAUCUUGAUCCACCGUCUCUGCAUCCAUAUACGGUUUAUGCUUGAAGAUAUCGUGCAAGAAUGGAUAUGCGUCUCCAACGUCCUCCGAAGACAACUCCAAUUUGUCCAUUGUGGAUUAAAGCUAAUGCAAUCAUCCUACCAGAGAAACGGAAAUACUCAAGGUGUACCGGGUUUACCUUUGAUGCUGCAGCAAGCACAAAUUGUAGAUGAACGUUAUUUACAUUCUACAAUGUAACAUCAACAUUUGUUAGACGACAAGGGUUUAUAUGAACCACUUGUUAGAUGGCGAGAGUAUAUAUGCAAAACUUUUUUAACCAGUCGUAUAUCUGCUCUAAAUCACAAAGUUGAAGGGUAUUUUUGACCCUUCGUUAUCGAGAAACAUCCAUCCAUUCAUAUUGAACCAAAUAAACAAAAUCAGAACUAAACACUAGCAAUUUUGCAUAAAUGAAAUAAAAAGGUUACCUUCAUUUGAGAAAAACUUUCUAUGAUUGUUUGGGCACGCAACAAAAAGAGCAUUCUGGACUUGCCGAUAAGGAUCGUCACCACUUCCCUUUCGUCCUCAUUUUCCACUGUAGCAUUUCGGUAUGGAUGGAGUCUGGAUAUCGUUCAUCCUUACUUUUGUGAUUAAUGUUCGUUUAAGGAUACUUUUGAUUGUUGGGAUCAUAUGCAUGCAUGGUUCGAGUUCUGGUAAUGCCAUACUUGUAAUACGUAAGUUGAGAUCAAAUUUGGAUAGAAUCAUUUUGAGAAUGGUAACAGUACUAUAUAUAUUUAAAUUAGAUGACGUCUACACAAGCUGUGUAAACUUAAAAAGAAGAUCUAAAAGCAGGUUGUAUAUAUGUAAUCUAACACAUCCAAAAUUGAUUCUGCUUCCUCUAGGUAUCUUGUUUACGCCAAAAUAGUAAUGCACUAAACAAUUCAUCUUCAACUUGGCGGAGAGCCAUGCAAAGCAAUUCAUCUUGAAAGGGAUUGAUCUUGACUUUUCGUAUCAGCAUCGAAGGCCAACUGUCCUGUUUGAUCUAUUAAAAUCUGUAUACUGAUCUGUGUGAGAACUUACCUUAACUGUCUUUUGGAUACACCGUGUAAUCUUCUUUGUUAGACAGCCCUUUUAAUUGUUCUCUUUUCUCUUCUAAACUCCAUUGAUGGAGCAUCUUAAUAUGGUAUCAGAGCUCGAUCCUCUUAAGAAUUAAUUCUAGUUAAUAAAAUAAGAUGUUAUUUCAUUUGUUUCUAAUGCA